rnacentral:rRNA from 1 species
GACGUAGGGCGCGAGCGUUGUCCGGAUUUAUUGGGCGUAAAGAGCUCGUAGGCGGCUUGUUGCGUCGACCGUGAAAACCCGGGGCUCAACUUCGGGCUUGCGGUCGAUACGGGCGGGCUAGAGUUCGGUAGGGGAGACUGGAAUUCCUGGUGUAGCGGUGAAAUGCGCAGAUAUCAGGAGGAACACCGGUGGCGAAGGCGGCUUGCUGGGCCUUACCUGACGCUGAGGAGCGAAAGCGUGGGGAGCGAACAGG